AUUGAACGCUGGCGGCAGGCCUAACACAUGCAAGUCGAGCGUGCGGCGGACGGGUGAGUACUGUAUGGGGACUGCCCGAUAGAGGGGGAUAACUACUGGAAACGGUAGCUACUACCGCAUACUAUCGGCUAAACCAUAUGGGCUUAGCUAGUAGGUGAGGUAAUGGCUCACCUAGGCGACGAUCCCUAGCUGGUAUGAGAGGAUGAUCAGCCACACUGGGCCUGAGAAACGGCCCGAACGCCAAGGGAGGCAGCAUGGGGGAAUAUGUGACAAUGGGCGCAAUCCGGAGGCAGCCAUGCCGGGUGUAUGAAAAAGGCCCUAGGGUUGAAAAGUACUUUCAGUCGGGAGGCGUUACCGACAGAGGAAGCACCGGCUAACUCCGUGCCAGCAGCCGCGGUAAUAC
rnacentral:rRNA from 1 species